GCUACCUCUUAGGUAAAAGGGUUCCAGAACUGAAAAUGCAUUCAGGUGUGGGGACUGAGCAACAAAUGCUUGCCUCCUACUCCCUCAUCACUGGGACAAGAUCCCCAAGUAUAUGAUUGAGACCCUGUCUGGGGAGUGGAUAACUUCAACUGCAGAAAGAACAGAUGGAAACUGGCAUAGAUGAGGCAUGCACUUACUUUCACGGAGCAGGAGAGAGGACCAGCAUGGUGCUGGACAUGGCAUUGGGUCUCCAGAAGGAUGAGGACUCCAUCUUCCAAGACCAUGGUCCAUGGAAUGAGGGCCAAUGAGCACCAUCCUUUUAAGGGGGCCACAGGCAACAGGAAUCCUUAUGGAUAAACCAGAUUACAUAUACGGGAACAUUCACAAGAACACCCUUAUAAUAACCAGCUACUGGAAAAAAAACUCAAAUGUCUAUGGACAGAAGAAUGGAUGAAUAAAUUGUGGGCUGUCAUGGUGGAAGCAGAUAACCCAAUGAAAGUAAAUUCACAUUAAAGGAAGAAAGGUUAUUAAUGGUUUAGUGUGCUAUCUCCCAGAUGAUUUAUCUUUUAUUGAGAAGCUUUCAGAAACAUUCAAAUGUUCCUGAUUAAAAAAAGAAAAAUUGGAAAUAUCCACCUGAAGGUCAGUCAGUGAGGGAACUGUAUUUGAGUGAAGAGCUUUCUACUUGGGCCUCUCAAACAAGACAACUCUGGCCACUUCAAUCAAAGCAAGAAUAUGUCCGCAGCCUCAGGUCACCACAAGAUGGGAUUUGGAAUUGGUUUUGUUGUUAUACAGUCCCAGACACCAAGGUGUUCCCAGCGGCUGUAUCUUAAUGUAGAUUGGGAACAAAGGACAUGUUAGAACUGCCAAGUACCACAGUCAACCUCUCAAAUGCUAUCAGCUUUGCCUGCAUCAGACAUCAGUGAAGAGAGUGAAACACGUGAAUAAAAGCAAAAGGUCUGUAAUAUGCAGGACUUUAUUAGGCAGUUCUGAGUGAACUCCAAACAAAAUGUGCAAAAAGAUGAGGCAUCCCGGAAAGACACCUCUAAUCAAGUCCGUGUGCCUUAGUGAAGCUCUACAUCACAAAGGAAACAGAAAACAGAGUCCAGAUUGGGAAAGGUGUUCGUCUUCCGCCAGUACAACAUUCUUACUCCCUACAAAUUUACUGAAUCUAUAAAGACCUGAAGUUAAGCUCCUCCCAAGGCCAGAUUCAAUGUAAGCGCUGGUUCUGUGCAUUUAAUUAAUGAUCUUUGUAAAUAUUUGGAAGAUUGAAAUCGAUUGCAUGUGCUCGGCAUUUCUGCAGGCAUAGAUUCCAAACUUUAAGCAAGGAGACUGCCCCUUUCCGAUUUCAUCCGUGGUAGUUGAGGCGAAUUCGUCCUGUAAAUGCACAUCCUGACGCAUGAAGCAAAGGGCCAGGCUCCCCAAUUCCUUUCAAGGUUUUUAGCAGUCUUCAUUGAAAUAAAUGUACCGGAAACAGCAGAAGUAGAAAAUGGCACAAGGCGAUAACGUUUGCAUAAAGAAGCCAUUAGGAAGGUGUGCCAAUGGAACAAUUGUGUGAUGUUGCAUAACAAAUGCACACUUUCCUUUAGUUAUUUUAAAGAUUCCAUUUAUCUAGUGUUUUUUUUUUUUUUUUGCAUUUAAAGAGCAUGAUGCUGAAUGAUUCUCCAUUCCUGAGAUGCCAGCACUUCUUGAAAAAACAUUCACAGAAUGAUUCAAAGCAUAAUAAAAGAGUAAAUCCAAUGUAAUAUUUAUCCAGCCUGAAUUUUCAGCUUUAAUACAUCCAAAGCCACCCCAUCCCCCAAUUUGCACAAUCACAGCUUAAUAAAGCACAUAUUUUAAACAGGCUGUUAAAAAUUGGUGAGAAAAGCCAGAAACAGAGCCACAGAACUCCCCCAAAUGCCUCCAAGAUGGAGACCACAUAGACUAGAAACUGGCUGGAACUUUCUAAGUCCCUCUCUAGGGUAGGAGCUGAAAGGUCUCCAUCCCACUGAAGGCAGAGCAGGGGUGGUCCUGGGGAAAGGCUAAAUUCAGUUCACUGUUCAAAGAAGAAUUCAUGCAAAUGCUUAAUAAGUACAUGGAAAAGGCAGCCUCACAAGUAAUCAAGAACACAGAUUAAAAGGAGAAAUAUGUUUCUUGUCUAUCAAAUUAGCAACUAGUACAUGGCCUUCUAACUGGUUUUGCUUCCAUACUUGCCACCCUACUGUCUCAUCUGAGAUGCAUACAGCAGCCUGAGUGAUGCUGAUAAAUCUUGAGAAGCAUGGAGUAGCUUCUCUGGACUUCCUAGCCUUGGUUUCCCAAUAAGAACAACCCUCCAUCACCUCCUGCUGACUGGUGGCCACUCCAAGCACCUACUCAUCUCUUUCCCCUUCUUGCUGCUCUAUUUACAGCUUUCCCACCAGCCCUUGAAACUGUGGAGCAACACCAACCUCCUGGCCCUUGUACCUGCUCUCCCGGCUGUCUGGAAUGCUAUUUCCUUGGAUCCUCACAAGGCUUCAUUUCUCUCUGUUCUGGACUUAGAUGUUGUCUACCUAAACUAUUUAGAUAGCACCUCCACUGAAACAGCAUCACCCCACCAGCUCCCUACCCUGCUUUACUUUCUUCAUAGAACGUAUCCAUCCCUGCAUAACAGUCUACUCUAUGUUUAUUUACUUUCCCUGUCUUCCCACAAGAUCUGAGUGUCUGGAGGACAGGAAAUUCUUUUUGUUGUUGUUUGUGACUAUAUCUCAAGUGCCCAGAACAGCACACAAUAAAUAUAUGCCAAUGGAAUGGCUUUCAGUGGCUCAACCCAGGAUCAUCAAGGCUAUUCUACCUGUGUUCCCACGCAAGGAAGGUGGAGAAAGAUGUGGGCACAGUCAUGAUAGGAAAUCAUCUGGCAAUGCUAUCCAACACCUGCAAAGAGUUUAUUUUUUUUAUUCAGUUUACCUGCUUUCAGAAACUUACACCGGAACAAUAAUCAAAACAUUCAGGUGAAGAUUUCAAUAUAAAGAUACUUACUAAAGUAUUAUUUGUGACUAUGACAAAUGGAAAUGACUGGAUAAAUAGCAAUACUCCUAAUAUAGAAUGGCUACCACUUUUUCAGAAGUUAUUAAGUGUUGGGUAAAAGGCUAAGUUUUUAAAAUACUCCACAAACUAGUUGUAUCCAAUUUACAGAUGAGGGCACUGAGGUAACUUGUCCAAGGCAUCAUUUGAUGAGUUUUAUGAAGCAUGGGGCCUCAAGUUCUUGCUGCCUGGACUGAGCUAAGAAAUAAUAAAUUGGAUCUGACUUACAAAACAAUGCCAAGCAUUUGGUCUUACUUGGGGGGGAGGCUGCCAAGGUGAGUGGGGAGGCAAGGGUACCCUUGAGUGGCAGGGAUCAUGGUUGUUCUUUCAGCUCUAAACAAUCCCAGAUCCCCCAGGCCGUGCACUGGGAACUCAGUCUCCCCAGGCCUCUGAAGUUCGAUGUGCGCAGCCCGAAGACUUUUGCAAACAUUUAUCACUGACCUUUAAUAGAUCAACAUUAAGCAAACAAACUUCUUCCUCUACACCCCCCUGCUCUCCCUUCUUCCUAUUGUUGCCAGGGUCAAUGGUUUCCUCUGAGUCCCCGAACCGAUCUCCGUGGAGUCUCACUCAUUUCCUGUCCAGGGAGCCUUGGCAUCUGAUCUGCAGUCCAGAAGCGGGCUGGGGAGCCAGCAGCCCCAGGGUCUGUUUCUCCUUAUUGUCUUCAGGGAGACCGUGGGCUCCCCUCCCACCCCACGCACUGUCACGGGAACCAAGCCCUCGGGUAGGAGGCCAUCUGGCCCUGCUGCCAGACCUGUUGAUGGGUUGGCUUCCACCCCUUGUUCCUGCCUCCCACCACACCCUUCAUGCCCCCAUCCACAAGAGGAAACAGCGUCCCAUAUGCUUGCAGCUUCGUUGACUCUUCUAGUCCUCAGCUCCAGAUGGUCUGGAUUCACUUUUCGAAAUGGCUCUGUCUCUAAUUCCCCAUUUAUUGUUCAUGUGCUCAUUUUAAGAUUGUGGCCCAUUAAAAAAAAAAAAA